rnacentral:rRNA from 1 species
GACGAACGCUGGCGGCGUGCCUAAUACAUGCAAGUAGGACGCAGUUGCGAACGGGUGAGUAACGCGUAGGUAACUACCUAUUAGAGGGGGAUAACUAUUGGAAACGAUAGCUAAUACCGCAUACUAGUAGAUGGACCUGCGUUGUAUUAGCUAGUAGGUAGGGUAAUGGCCUACCUAGGCAACGAUACAUAGCCGACCUGGGAGGUUGGUCGGACACCCUUGGACGUGUGCACGGCCCAGACUUCGUCUGGAGGCAGCAGUAGGGGAUCUUCGGCAAUGGGGGGAACCCUGACCGAGCAACGCCGCGUGAGUGAAGAAGGUUUUCGGAUCGUAAAGCUCUGUUGUUAAGGAAGCGGUACUUAACCAGAAAGGGACGGCUAACUACGUGCCAGCAGCCGCGGUAAUUC